rnacentral:pre_miRNA from 1 species
UAUAUACUCCCUCCGUCCAACAAAGAUGUCUCAAGUUUGUCAAAAUUUGGAUGUAUCUAGACAUGAGUUAGUGUAUAGAUGCAUUCAAACUUAAUCAAAGUUGAGACAUCUUUUGUUGGACGGAGGGAGUAUUAG